rnacentral:rRNA from 1 species
UACGGAGGGUGCGAGCGUUGUCCGGAAUCACUGGGCGUAAAGGGCGCGUAGGUGGCCUGUGGAAGUCUGCGGUGAAAGCCCGGCGCUCAACGCCGGGUCUGCCGUGGAUACUCUCGGGCUUGAGCUUACUAGAGGCAGAUGGAAUUCCGGGUGUAGCGGUGGAAUGCGUAGAGAUCCGGAAGAACACCGGUGGCGAAGGCGGUCUGCUGGGGUAAUGCUGGACACUGAGGCGCGACAGCG